rnacentral:lncRNA from 1 species
CAUUUUUUGGACCUUCACGGUUUGUACUUUUUAUUUAUAUCCAAAAAUUACAAGUAUUUCAAAAUCAUCAUCUAGUGGGAAAUAUUAUUACUAGGGUAUAUAUAAUUUAUCAUCCAAACUGGGACACUUUUGAGAGUGAAAAGGGGUGCUACUUAUAAUAACAUUGGGAAAACAGGUGUAAACCAAGACUUCCCCAGGCAGGCCAGACAGACGGUCACACAAUAUCACAUACAAGAGUGUAAGAAUCUUGAGGGCAGGAAUGAUGUUUUAUUUAUUUUUGUAUCUUCAGCACCUAUUGCAAUGCUUUACACCUAGAAAGAAUUCAAUAAAUGCUUAAAUGAAUAAAUUUUAUAAUUAGAUUAUGUUUUUGUAAUUCUUUUGAAAUAAUUUUUAUACAUAAUACUAAGCUGAGUAUAUUUCUUUUUUUCAGUCCACAGUGCAUGUAUUGGGGUUAAAUAAAAUCCCACAUAGCUCUACAGGGUGAACCUUACUUCAUCAUCUGAUCUGCUCCUUGAAAGUAAAGAAGAUAAGAAUGGAAAAGUAAAAUAUAUCUAUGAGUCAUAAAAAAAUAAUUCUUUCAGUCUGGGUAGUUUGAGAAAGCACUAAAGAAAGAUUAGAGAAUGAAUUCAGAUAAGAAGCAAUUUCAUAAUCUCUCUGAAGGUUAUUAUCCUGGUUUCAUUUGCUAUACCAGGAAUGUUGGUCCCUGGAGAAAAAUGCCAAACAAGUAUAACAAGUAUCAACUGAGAACACUCUGACUGGGAAGAAUGCUAUUUGUCUUUCACAAUGAGGACUUGAGAAGAGUAAUAGCCAUUGGUGAACUCCCAGGAGUGAAGAUUCUAGAUGUGUGCUUAUUGUUUCUUGCCUGCCGGUUUACUUUCUAUACUUGCCUGACAGAGAAGAUAACAGAUGCAGAGUGUGAGAGCAGAAGAAAAACAAAAUAUGUCCUGAUCUCAAAGUCAAAAUUAACUCCAACAAGAAGAGAAAGUUGAAGAAGGUAAUUUUCUUUGUGAUAGAGUUUAGUUUAGAUCACCCACACUUCUACAUUUUACAAAUCGUAGAAGAUAUUGGGAAUCCACCUUGUUUUUUUAAAUUGUUUCUUUAAUGGAAAGACUUGCAAUUUUUAAAAGAAUAGUUUAAUGCUUCUUACUUAUCUGCUUACCAUGUCUUUCUUUCCCAAAUGGGUUCUGUGAUCCCUGGAGACCACCAUGUCUUAUUCACCUUUUUAUCCCUAGUGCCUGACAAAAAGUAGAGACUCAAAGAUUAAUGAUUGAAUGAAGGAAUGAAGGAAGGAAGGAACCACAAGCAAAUUAUUAACAAGUUAACAAUAGUGCAAAGAGGUUGAACAUCCAAGGCUGAGACCUUUUCUCUCCCAGCCAGAGAGUUUUUCCAGUUCUCUAUCAAUUUCCUUGAUAGGACAGGAGCCUCUUCCCUCAAGUCUACAGGUUACUUAAAAGGCAGAUUCAAAUUUAGCUAAUACCCAC